rnacentral:rRNA from 1 species
UACGUAGGGUGCAAGCGUUAAUCGGAAUUACUGGGCGUAAAGCGUGCGCAGGCGGUUAUGUAAGACAGGUGUGAAAUCCCCGGGCUUAACCUGGGAGCUGCAUUUGUGACUGCAUAGCUAGAGUACGGUAGAGGGGGAUGGAAUUCCGCGUGUAGCAGUGAAAUGCGUAGAUAUGCGGAGGAACACCGAUGGCGAAGGCAAUCCCCUGGACCUGUACUGACGCUCAUGCACGAAAGCGUGGGGAGCAAACAGG